rnacentral:rRNA from 1 species
UACGAAGGGGGCUAGCGUUGCUCGGAAUCACUGGGCGUAAAGCGCACGUAGGCGGCUUCUUAAGUCAGGGGUGAAAUCCUGGAGCUCAACUCCAGAACUGCCUUUGAUACUGAGGAGCUUGAGUCCGGGAGAGGUGAGUGGAACUGCGAGUGUAGAGGUGAAAUUCGUAGAUAUUCGCAAGAACACCAGUGGCGAAGGCGGCUCACUGGCCCGGUACUGACGCUGAGGUGCGAAAGCGUGGGAGCAAAC